rnacentral:rRNA from 1 species
CAGUCGCCGCGGUAAUACGUAGGUGGCAAGCGUUGUCCGGAAUUAUUGGGCGUAAAGCGCGCGCAGGCGGCCUAUCCAGUCUGUCUUAAAAGUUCGGGGCUCAACCCCGUGAUGGGAUGGAAACUAGUAGGCUAGAGUAUCGGAGAGGAAAGCGGAAUUCCUAGUGUAGCGGUGAAAUGCGUAGAUAUUAGGAAGAACACCAGUGGCGAAGGCGGCUUUCUGGACGAAAACUGACGCUGAGGCGCGAAAGCCAGGGGAGCGAACGGGAUUAGAUACCCCCGUAGUCCCUGUCUCUUAUACC